GAUCAUGGCUCAGGGUGAACGCUAGCUAUAGGCUUAACACAUGCAAGUCGAGGGGAAACGGCAUUAUGUGCUUGCACAUUUUGGACGUCGACCGGCGCACGGGUGAGUAUCGCGUAUCCAACCUGCCCUUUACUUGGGGAUACCCCGUUGAAAGACGGCCUAAUACCCGAUGUAAUUCAUUGAUGGCAUCAGAUAUGAAUAAAAGAUUUAUCGGUAAAGGAUGGGGAUGCGUCUGAUUAG
rnacentral:rRNA from 1 species